GACGUAGGGCGCGAGCGUUGUCCGGAUUUAUUGGGCGUAAAGAGCUCGUAGGCGGCUUGUCGCGUCGUCCGUGAAAACCUGCGGCUCAACUGCAGGCUUGCGGUCGAUACGGGCAGGCUGGAGUUCGGUAGGGGAGACUGGAAUUCCUGGUGUAGCGGUGAAAUGCGCAGAUAUCAGGAGGAACACCGGUGGCGAAGGCGGCUUGCUGGGCCAGUUCUGACGCUGAGGAGCGAAAGCGUGGGGAGCGAACAGG
rnacentral:rRNA from 1 species